rnacentral:rRNA from 1 species
GGUCCGAGUUGUAAUUUGCAGAGGAUGCUUCGGGUUCGGCUCCGGUCUAAGUUCCUUGGAACAGGACGUCAUAGAGGGUGAGAAUCCCGUAUGUGACCGGCCGCCACGCCCGUGUGAAGCUCCUUCGACGAGUCGAGUUGUUUGGGAAUGCAGCUCAAAAUGGGUGGUAAAUUUCAUCUAAAGCUAAAUAUUGGCCAGAGACCGAUAGCGCACAAGUAGAGUGAUCGAAAGAUGAAAAGCACUUUGGAAAGAGAGUCAAACAGUACGUGAAAUUGUUGAAAGGGAAGCGCUUGCAACCAGACUUGCCCGCGGGUGAUCAGCCGGUAUUCUUACCGGUGCACUCGCCCGUGGUCAGGCCAGCAUCGGUUUGGGCGGCUGGAUAAAGUCCACCGGAAUGUAGCUCCUCUCGGGGAGUGUUAUAGCCGGAGGUGCCAUGCAGCCCGCCCGGACCGAGGACCGCGCUUCGGCUAGGAUGCUGGCGUAAUGGUUGUAAGCGACCCGUCUUGAAACACGGACCAAGGAGUCUAACAUCUAUGCGAGUGUUUGGGUGUCAAACCCAUGCGCGUAAUGAAAGUGAACGGAGGUGGGAACCCUGAAGGGUGCACCAUCGACCGAUCCUGAUGUCUUCGGAUGGAUUUGAGUAAGAGCAUAGCUGUUGGGACCCGAAAGAUGGUGAACUAUGCCUGAAUAGGGUGAAGCCAGAGGAAACUCUGGUGGAGGCUCGCAGCGGUUCUGACGUGCAAAUCGAUCGUCAAAUUUGGGU